CAGAUACAGAGAAGAUUAGCAUGGCCCCUGAGCAAGGAUGACACGCAAAUUCAUGAAGCGCUCCAUAGUUUU
rnacentral:snRNA from 1 species